rnacentral:pre_miRNA from 1 species
GCCUUAAGAACUUUUUAAUAGCUACAACUUCUCUCUUAGAAUCAACUCUUCUAAGAGAGAAGUUGUGGCUAUCAAAAAGUUCCUGAGGCCCUA